CCUACGGGUGGCAGCAGUGGGGAAUAUUGGGCAAUGGGCGCAAGCCUGACCCAGCAACGCCGCGUGAAGGCAGAAGGCUCUCGGGUUGUUAACCUCUUUUGUCAGGGAAGAGUAGAAGACGGUACCUGACGCAUAAGCCACGGCUAACUACGUGCCAGCAGCUGCGGUAAUACGUAGGUGGCAAGUGUUGUCCGGAUUUACUGGGUGUAAAGGGCGUGUAGCCGGGUUGACAAGUCAGAUGUGAAAACCUGCGGCUUAACCGCAGAACUGCAUUUGACACUGUCGAUCUGGAGUACUGGAGAGGCAGACGGAAUUCCUAGUGUAGCGGUGAAAUGCGUAGAUAUUAGGAAGAACACCAGUGGCGAAGGCAGUCUGCUGGACAGCAACUGACGGUGAGGCGCGAAAGCGUGGGGAGCAAACAGGAUUAGAUACCCGAGUAGUC
rnacentral:rRNA from 1 species